rnacentral:rRNA from 1 species
UACGUAGAGGGCUAGCGUUGUCCGGAAUCAUUGGGCGUAAAGAGCGUGUAGGCGGCUCGGUAAGUCCGCUGUGAAAGUCCAGGGCUCAACCCUGGAAUGCCAGUGGAAACUGUCGAGCUAGAGUCCGGAAGAGGCGAGUGGAAUUCCUGGUGUAGCGGUGAAAUGCGCAGAUAUCAGGAGGAACACCAAUGGCGAAGGCAGCUCGCUGGGACGGUACUGACGCUGAGACGCGAAAGCGUGGGGAGCAAACAGG